rnacentral:rRNA from 1 species
CUCCAGACUCCUACGGGAGGCAGCAGUGGGGAAUAUUGGGCAAUGGGCGCAAGCCUGACCCAGCAACGCCGCGUGAAGGAAGAAGGCUUUCGGGUUGUAAACUUCUUUUGUCAGGGACGAAGCAAGUGACGGUACCUGACGAAUAAGCCACGGCUAACUACGUGCCAGCAGCCGCGGUAAUACGUAGGUGGCAAGCGUUAUCCGGAUUUAUUGGGUUUAAAGGGUGCGCAGGCGGAAGAUCAAGUCAGCGGUAAAAUGGAGAGGCUCAACCUCUUCGAGCCGUUGAAACUGGUUUUCUUGAGUGAGCGAGAAGUAUGCGGAAUGCGUGGUGUAGCGGUGAAAUGCAUAGAUAUCACGCAGAACUCCGAUUGCGAAGGCAGCAUACCGGCGCUCAACUGACGCUCAUGCACGAAAGUGUGGGUAUCGAACAGGAUUAGAUACCCGAGUA